AUCUUUGCCUCUCUAGCCAUUGUGGGAUAAUACCGGCUGGCUUCGUGUCCCCACCUCCAGACCUCCAUCUCUCCAUUGUGGGAUAAUACCACCAGCCUUCGUGUCCCCACCUCCGGCAACCCGAUCGGAUGACCCGACCCGAGCUUUCGAGAAUCGGCUUUGAUACCAUGUAAAAUAACCCGGGUCAAAUCCCGAAUCCGGAACAAAUCUCGGGUCCAAUCCCAAGUUCGAAUCGAAUUAAAUCCAUUAAAAUAAGGCCUCAAACUACUGGCCCAAUAGUAUCUUCUUGGGUCAUCUUAGCCCACCACAGGCUCCCAAAAGGUCAUGACUUGAAGGUAUUAUUGGUAGUAACUUAUUUCCUUAUAUACAGACAAAUUUUUCCCCUAUCUUUCGAUGUGGGACUGGGGUGUUACAAACUCCCCCACUUAAAUUUCUGACGUCCCCGUCAGAACCGAUCACGCACACGGUCCAAAGAUCUUUUCCUCUCUAGCCAUUGUGGGAUAAUACCGGCUGGCUUCGUGUCCCCACCUCCGGACCUUCAUCUCUCCAUUGUGGGAUAAUACCACCAGCCUUCGUGUCCCCACCUCCGGACCUUCAUCUCUCCAUUGUGGGAUAAUACCACCAGCCUUCGUGUCCCCACCUCCAGCAACCCGAUCGGACCCGACCCGAGCUUUCGAGAAUCGGUUUUGAUACCAUAUGAAAUAACCCGGGUCAAAUCCCGAGUCCGGAACAAAUCUCGGGUCAAAUCCCAAGUUCGAAUCGAAUCAAAUCCAUCAAAAUAAGGCCUCAAACUACUGGCCCAAUAGUAUCUUCUUGGGUCAUCUUAGCCCACCACAGGCUCCCAAAAGGUCAUGACUUAAAGGUAUUAUUGGUAGUAACUUAUUUCCUUAUAUACAGACAAAUUUUUCCCCUAUCUUUCGAUGUGG
rnacentral:lncRNA from 1 species